rnacentral:miRNA from 1 species
GGUUGUUGGGUGGACUCAGUU